UAUCAAUAAGCGGAGGAAAAGAAACCAACAGGGAUUGCCUCAGUAACGGCGAGUGAAGCGGCAACAGCUCAAAUUUGAAAUCGGCCCCCCGGUCGAGUUGUAAUUUGCAGAGGAUGCUUCUGGGCAGCGGCCGGUCUAAGUUCCUUGGAACAGGACGUCACAGAGGGUGAGAAUCCCGUAUGUGACCGGCGCGCACCCUCCACGUAGCUCCUUCGACGAGUCGAGUUGUUUGGGAAUGCAGCUCUAAAUGGGAGGUAAAUGUCUUCUAAAGCUAAAUACCGGCCAGAGACCGAUAGCGCACAAGUAGAGUGAUCGAAAGAUGAAAAGCACUUUGGAAAGAGAGUUAAACAGCACGUGAAAUUGUUGAAAGGGAAGCGCUUGCAACCAGACUUGUCGGUGGUGUUCCGCCGGUCUUCUGACCGGUCCACUCACCGCCGGCAGGCCAACAUCGUCUGGGGCCGCCGGAUAAGACGUCGGGAAUGUAGCUCCUCGGAGUGUUAUAGCCCCUCGUGAUGCGGCGCGCCCCGGGCGAGGUCCGCGCUUCGGCAAGGAUGUUGGCGUAAUGGUUGUUAGCGGCCCGUCUUGAAACACGG
rnacentral:rRNA from 1 species